rnacentral:rRNA from 1 species
GACGAACGCUGGCGGCGUGCUUAACACAUGCAAGUCGAACGGAAAGGCCCUGCUUUUGUGGGGUGCUCGAGUGGCGAACGGGUGAGUAACACGUGAGUAACCUGCCCUUGACUUUGGGAUAACUUCAGGAAACUGGGGCUAAUACCGGAUAGGAGCUCCUGAUGCAUGGUGGGGGUUGGAAAGUUUCGGCGGUUGGGGAUGGACUCGCGGCUUAUCAGCUUGUUGGUGGGGUAGUGGCUUACCAAGGCUUUGACGGGUAGCCGGCCUGAGAGGGUGACCGGCCACAUUGGGACUGAGAGACGCACCAGACUCCUACGGGAGGCAGCAGUGGGGAAUAUGGCACAGUGGGCGGAAGCCUGAUGCAGCAACGCCGCGUGCGGGAUGACGGCCUUCGGGUUGUAAACCGCUUUCGCCUGUGACGAAGAGUGAGUGACGGUAAUGGGUAAAGAAGCACCGGCUAACUACGUG